rnacentral:rRNA from 1 species
GACGAACGCUGGCGGCGUGCUUAACACAUGCAAGUCGAGCGGAAAGGCCCUGCUUUUGUGGGGUGCUCGAGUGGCGAACGGGUGAGUAACACGUGAGUAACCUGCCCUUGACUUUGGGAUAACUUCAGGAAACUGGGGCUAAUACCGGAUAGGAGCUCCUGCUGCAUGGUGGGGGUUGGAAAGUUUCGGCGGUUGGGGAUGGACUCGCGGCUUAUCAGCUUGUUGGUGGGGUAGUGGCUUACCAAGGCUUUGACGGGUAGCCGGCCUGAGAGGGUGACCGGGCACAUUGGGACUGAGAUACGGCCCAGACUCCUACGGGAGGCAGCAGUGGGGAAUAUUGCACAAUGGGCGGAAGCCUGAUGCAGCAACGCCGCGUGCGGGAUGACGGCCUUCGGGUUGUAAACCGCUUUCGCCUGUGACGAAGCGUGAGUGACGGUAAUGGGUAAAGAAGCACCGGCUAACUACGUG